UGGGGAAUAUUGGACAAUGGGGGGAACCCUGAUCCAGCCAUGCCGCGUGUGUGAAGAAGGCCUUUUGGUUGUAAAGCACUUUAAGCGAGGAGGAGGCUCCCUAGACUAAUACUCUAGGAGAGUGGACGUUACUCGCAGAAUAAGCACCGGCUAACUCUGUGCCAGCAGCCGCGGUAAUACAGAGGGUGCAAGCGUUAAUCGGAUUUACUGGGCGUAAAGGGUACGUAGGUGGUCUUUUAAGUCGGAUGUGAAAUCCCUGAGCUUAACUUAGGAAUUGCAUUCGAUACUGAGAGACUAGAGUAUGGGAGAGGAUGGUAGAAUUCCAGGUGUAGCGGUGAAAUGCGUAGAGAUCUGGAGGAAUACCGAUGGCGAAGGCAGCCAUCUGGCCUAAUACUGACACUGAGGUACGAAAGCAUGGGGAGCAAACA
rnacentral:rRNA from 1 species